AUGAACAAGGUGAGCUUACAAGAUGAAGAAUCUUCUUUACAUUUCAGACUGUUUUCUCAAAUAGGAAUACAGAUGGAUGUCUGCAUCUUUCCUCUUUUUUUGCGCUCUGCAGCUCAGACCAACACUGUACACCUGAUGUGUUCCUGCAAUCAAGCAACAGUUAAAAGAAACUUCUCAGCUGACCAGAAUUAUGUUGUUUGUGUACAUCAACCCCUCACAUCAGAUGUCAAAAGAAAAAUUACUUUGUGUGUGGCAAAUGGAAGUACAUUGAUACGUGCACAAGUAUCCUGCUGGAUGACCUGUUGUCAACUGCCCUACUUCAUUCUCAAUAAACAUUUCAUUUUAACAGUAGCUGCCUCUGUCUCCCAGAGAAGCUGUCCCUUACAUCAUGGGCUCACCUGCUUUUUCCCAUUCCAUGUCUCCAUUUCCUUUUGGCACAGAAAGAUGUUUUUCACAGCAUAACAAUGGACAGGAAUGGGGAAUUUGCCCAGCUGAAAAAGACAUUUUGCCUUUGUUUUGCCCAAGUUAGUUCUUGAGGGAUGUAUUCCCCCCCUUAUUGCAUGUACAAACAUGAGGGCAUGUGCCAGUGCCUAGGAACAGGGAACCACAGGGAUGGCUACAUUGGAGUCUGGCUUAGCCAGUUCAUGUGGCCAUUGACUUAUAGUCCUGUGAGCUCUAAAACUCAAUAGCCAUACAGCCACUGUUUCACUGUAACUGUGUACACAGCAAGAGCACAAUGGAUCAAAGUAGCAACCCAC
rnacentral:lncRNA from 1 species